GGGUUGGUGGUGUAGUGGAAACAUACGCCGUGGCUACAGUCACGCCCAUGGCGAGUCCUAGGUUCAAGUCCUAGCCAACUUG